rnacentral:rRNA from 1 species
GUCCACGCCGUAAACGAUGGAUGCUAGCCGUCGGGACUCACGUCUCGGUGGCGACGCUAACGCAUUAAGCAUCCCGCCUGGGGAGUACGGUCGCAAGAUUAAAACUCAAAGGAAUUGACGGGGACCCCGCACAAGCGGUGGAGCAUGUGGUUUAAUUCGAAGCAACGCGAAGAACCUUACCAGGACUUGACAUGGGUAGUUUGGAUUUCAGAGAUGAUUUCCUUCAGCUUGGCUGGCUACCACACAGGUGCUGCACGGCUGUCGU